GUUCAACGGCCGCGGUAUCCUAACCGUGCAAAGGUAGCAUAAUCACUUGCCCAUUAAUUGUGGGCUAGAAUGAAAGGACCAACGAAAUAAAGACUGUCUCUAUAAGCAAAUUAAAAAUUAAUCUCUAACUGAAGAGUGUUAGAUUAUGUCGAAGGACAAGAAGACCCUAUAGAGCUUAAUUCUAAUAAAAAUACAUGUUUUAAUAAAAUUCGGUUGGGGCGACCAGGGAAUAAAAAUCAUCCCUAUUCAAAAGAUUUAUAAAUCUUUAAAAUGACCCUUAAACAAGACCAUAAAAACAAGCUACCUUAGGGGUAACAGGCUAAUCCCACUAAAGAGUUCUUAUCAAUAGUGGGGGUUGGCACCUCGAUGUUGGCUUAGGGAAUCUAUACGGCGCAAAAGUCGUAUAAAGAUGGUUUGUUCAACCAAUAACCCCUACAUGAGCUGAGUUCAGACCGGCGUAAGCCAGGUUAGUUUCUAUCCUCGAUAAAAAUACCUAUUUAUAGUACGAAAGGACCUAAAUAAGGGUAACAGUUACAAUAAAAGAAUAAAUAUAAAAAAUUAAUAUUUAGAAGAUUCAUAAACUAUGAUAGUGAGUUGGCAGAAUAGUGCCAC
rnacentral:rRNA from 1 species